rnacentral:misc_RNA from 1 species
AAAAUUCAUAGCCCUUUACUUUCACUAGUUCAAUAACCAAGCCGGUUUGAAUAACUUGGUUUCUGAUGUUUGUGUAUCUUACCUGAAAUCCUAUAAAGAUUGACCCAGCAAAUAUCUUUAAGAACACAGGGCCAAAUUUAACUCUCAAAAAUAAAGGGCUAGGAGACUAUCUGAUAGCUUAAAUUUUCUGGUAUUUUGACAAAGUGACAAAGACUGGCUAGUUCCCACUUGAGUAAAUAAAAAGAAAGUAAACAAAGUAGCACAGGUCACUGCCUUAGACACAGCAAAUUGCAACCAGCGAACCCCAACUAAUGAAGUGUAGUGAUACUCUUUUAAUACAUAGCACUACUUGCAAGGAUAUUCUGAUCCAUUCUCUGAAGACUAACCAUUGUGGCCCACUCCACCCACAUGGGAAUGGGUAUGGAUGAAACCAAUAUAUCUGAUAAUUGGGCGGGCACCAGUCAAGUUCCUUUUCCUUGUUGAAUCUGUUGAAGAAGAGCUGCUGCCAGCUGUAAUGUUGCUUGCAGGCGUUUCUGCGGAUCUCCAUCUUCUGCUUCUUGUGUACCAGUACUUGGCAUCUGAGGAUUCGUUGAAGUCCCUGGCUGAACCUCCCUUGGAAGUGGGGCUUGUACUGCUUUAGGCACAUUUGAUGCCUGCUGCUGCUGCAACUGUUGUGGUUGACCAAAUUGAGAUGUUGGAAUCUCAGAACCUACCCGAUUAUUCUGUAUAGCAUGUGUGUGUGCUGUUCUAAACUGGUUCUCCAACUGAUUCAUUGUGUUUGCGUGCCUAAUAUCUUCUCCCAUGGAUACAUUUGCAUUGCUCCCUGGUUGUCUUUGCUGCCCAAGAAGAGAUGAAGCUAGUUGUGCAAGUUGUUGCGGUUGCAAGCCAGCAGCAGGCAGAGACAGAGGAACCGAGGAUUUAUUUUCCUGAAGGAAUGGCUUGCUGGUUCCAGAUGCUAGGUUACUUGACAUGCCAGCUGCAUGAAGAGCUAAGCCUUCCUCUUGCACAGCCCUUGCUAUGACUAAGUGAUGCUCCUGGGCUGUAUCAAUAACAGUAUUGGAUGCUUGUGAAGGUGUAUUUCUGUUACCAGAAAGAGAGUUCUGUCGAUGGUGAGGAGACAAGUUGGGUCCAGGCAUGGGGUUCCGCUGUUGAAGUGGAUAAUCAUUCCUACCAUCGUUGUAAGAAUCAGACAUCCUUCCAACAAGAUGGGCUGAACCUGAAAAUGCUGUGGGUGGACCUGAUGUAGACACAUCCCUCAAAAAGGAUGGAUCACCACCUGACCUGGCCAAAUCUGUAAAAGAACCCAUUGGAUGAAAAUGACCUGAAGGUGUGGGUGGCUUUGUGUAUUGUGCGUCCCCAUGAAAAGACAAUGUUUCCCUUUUCUCAUUUGGA